AUGGAAGUGAUGAUCCUUUCCCCAGAUGAUCGACUAUGAUUAUACUGCGCUAUUUCUUUUUCUCUUCGGAGAAUCCAAGCCAAGAGUCUGAUCCAU